AUAGCAAUAGCUAAUUGUAUUAGCAAAUAGUUUUUACAAUAUCGAUUUAAUCGACUAAAAUUCUAGGUAGAUUUAUGAUGAUGACAUUAUCUAUCUAUGUGUCUUGACCAAAUUUCGUGCCAGCAGUCGCGGUAAGACGUAAGAGACUAGUGUUAUUCAUCUUUAAUAGGUUUAAAGCGUACCUAGACGGUAAUUAAAGCCUAUAUCAGGAACUUGUUUACUAGAGUUAAAUGUAAGGGUGUAUUAAAGUACUGUUGAGUGUAGAGAUGAAAUUCGUUGAUACCAAAUAAUUGGCACAGGUAUAGGCGAAAGCAUCACUUUAUGUAAUAACUGACGUUGACGGACGAAGGCUUUGUGUCGCGAACAGGAUUAGAUACCCCAGUAGUCUUAGCAGAAAACUAUGAGUGUCAUAGGUUAGAUUUUAUUUGGUCUAUAAAUGAAAGUGUAAGCACUCCACCUCAAGAGUAAUUUGGCAACAUUGGAACUGAAAUCAUUAGACCGUUUCUGAAACCAGUAGUGAAGUAUGUUGUUUAAUUUGAUAAUCCGCAAAGAACCUUACCACAAUUUGAAUAUAAAUGAUUUAUUUUUACAAGCGUUGCACGGCUGUCUUCAGUUAAUGUCGUGAGAUAUUGGUUUAUUCCAUUAAAUUAACGUAAACCCGUACUUUAUUUUUAUAUAAAGUUGUUCAUUCGCUAUAAUGGAUGUGAUAACAGGGACUAAGACAAGUCAUCAUGGCCUAAAUAUUG
rnacentral:rRNA from 1 species